rnacentral:pre_miRNA from 14 species
AUUCGGGGUUCCAGGGGGUCACGCUCCGAUCUCAGUGGAACCUCCAAAUGAAAGAGCGUAAACCUAAACGGGGAGCUGCGUCUCUCGCUCCAAUCGUGGGAUGGGGUGCCACCACGAAUCACCAGUAGCCAU